GGCUCUGGGCACAGCCGAGGCUGCAGGAGGCCGGCGGAGGGCUGCGAGCGCCCGGGGACUCCGUCACCCUCUCCUGCCGCGGGUCCGGCUUCACCUUUAGGAAUUACGGAAUUUGGUGGUACCGUCAGGCACCCGGAGGCAGCCUGGAGUGGGUGUCCGUUAUUAGUUACGAUCCGACAGUUUUUGUUUUUGACGAGUCAGUGAAGACUCGGGCCAAGAUUUCCCGGGACAAUUCCCAGUCCACCGCUUAUCUGUCCCUGCUGACCCUGCAGCCCCGCGACUCUGCCCGCUACUUCUGCUCUAUUCACACGGAGACAGGAAACCCAGCUGAGCUUUAA